rnacentral:lncRNA from 1 species
CUUCACUGCUCUAUCAUGAGUUUGUAAGCUGAUAGUCCCAAUGUCCUUGAUCGCACAGCUCGAUCCAUUCGAUAAAUAAACAGUGACCUCACUGCUCUCUAAGAAGUCAAACAGCUCCUCUCUACAAUAUACAUUAUGCAAACAUGAAGAAUCUAAAAUCUACUAUGGAAAAAAAGUAGAUACCUCAUCAAAUACUAGAAGAACAUCAUUACUUUCUUCUAUAUCACUAUCUCAGACCAUCGUCGCCUC